rnacentral:rRNA from 1 species
CGACCGGCGCACGGGUGAGUAACGCGUAUGCAACCUACCUAUCAGGAGGGGAAUAACCCGGCGAAAGUCGGACUAAUACCGCAUAAAACAGGGGUUCCACAUGGAAAUAUUUGUUAAAGAAUUAUCGCUGAUAGAUGGGCAUGCGUUCCAUUAGAUAGUUGGUGAGGUAACGGCUCACCAAGUCCACGAUGGAUAGGGGUUCUGAGAGGAAGGUCCCCCACACUGGUACUGAGACACGGACCAGACUCCUACGGAAGGCAGCAG